UACAGAGGUGCCGAGCGUUAGGCGGAAUCACUGGGCUUAAAGCGUGUGUAGGCGGAUGCCUAAGUACCUUGUGAAAUCCCACAGCUCAACUGUGGAACUGCUUGGUAUACUGGGUGUCUUGAGCCACUUAGGGGUUACCGGAACAAAUGGUGGAGCGGUGAAAUGCGUAGAUAUCGUCAGGAAUGCCGGUGGUGAAGACGGGUGACUGGGCUGGUUCUGACACUGAGGCACGAAAGCGUGGGGAGCGAACGGG
rnacentral:rRNA from 1 species